rnacentral:rRNA from 1 species
AUUGAACGCUGGCGGCAUGCUUUACACAUGCAAGUCGAACGGCAGCGCGGGCUUCGGCCUGGCGGCGAGUGGCGAACGGGUGAGUAAUACAUCGGAACGUGCCCAGUAGUGGGGGAUAGCUCGGCGAAAGCCGGAUUAAUACCGCAUACGACCUGAGGGUGGAAGCGGGGGAUCUUCGGACCUCGCGCUAUCGGAGCGGCCGAUGGCAGAUUAGCUAGUUGGUGGGGUAAAGGCCUACCAAGGCGACGAUCUGUAGCUGGUCUGAGAGGACGACCAGCCACACUGGGACUGAGACACGGCCCAGACUCCUACGGGAGGCAGCAGUGGGGAAUUUUGGACAAUGGGCGAAAGCCUGAUCCAGCAAUGCCGCGUGUGUGGUGAAGGCCUUCGGGUUGUAAAGCACUUUUGGCGGGAACGAAAAGGACUGUGCCAAUACCACGGUUCGAUGACGGUACCCGCAGAAUAAGCACCGGCUAACUACGUG